ACAUUCCUACAACAUAGUUUUAAUGCAUUGGAUCCCAUUAGAAAUCCGUAGUUAAGUGCACUCAAUCUAGAGUAGUACUGGGAUGGGUGACCGCCCGGGAAGUCCUAGUAUUUGACAUGCC
rnacentral:rRNA from 1 species